CACUAGUGAUUCUGCUCAAUGAUUUUUUAAAUUGCUGUGGUAUUUUGACUAUACGAAGGUAUUGAAAUAAGAUUUUAAAUGAGUGCUAAGAGAAUGAUUUAACAAUUAAAGACUUUCUUUUAUUAAAUGAUUGAAUUUAAUUUUUUAGUGCGAAAGCAAAAAUUAAAAUUAGGGACAAGAAGACCCUAUGAAUUUUUAAUUUUUUAAAUAAUAUAUUUUAAUUAUUAAAAAAUUUAAUUGGGGUGAUAGAAAAAGAAUAAAUAUCUUUUUUUAAAGUUUAAAUUAGUUCCGUUUUUAACG
rnacentral:rRNA from 1 species